ensembl:lncRNA
AAUACAUUCAGGGUGCCAAGCCUGUUGCAAAGAGCUGUGUACAUAUCUUAUUUAUCCUUACUGGGAUCCGAGGAGAUGGGUAUUGUUAUCCCCAGCUUAUAAAAAUGAAGGCUGAGAGGAGUUCCCAUCAUAGUUCAGUGGUUACCGAACCCGACUAGGAACCAUGAGGUUGUGGGUUUGAUCCCUGGCCUUGUUCAGUGGGUUAAGGGUCCAGCGUUGCGCUGCGUCUGCGACCUCCCUCACAACUCAUGGCAACACCGAACCCUUAACCCACUGAGCAAGGCCAGGGAUCAAUCCCACAUCCUCAUGGAUACUAGUUGGGUUCAUUAACCACUGAGCCAUGACGGGGACUCCUAUUUUGUUCCACACCCAGGAUUUUGACUAAUCUGUCCUCCACCAUGCUUAUUCCUUCUUCUGCCUCCUGUAUUCUGCUGUUGGCUGCUUCAAAUGAAUUUUUUAUUUCAGUUAUUGUAUUUUGCAUCUCUUCUUGCUUAAGUUUUAUAUAUUGUAUCUCUUUGCUCAGUGUUUCCUAUAAACUAUCCAUCUUUGCCUCCAGUUUAUUUCUAAUGUCUUGCAUCAUCUUCUGCACCAACAGUCUAAAGUCUUUUUUCCUGGAGGCUGAGAAUCUCCUGAUCGCUUAGCUGUUUUUCUGGGGUUUUUUCCUUUCUCCCUCAUCUGAGUUAUAGUUCUCUGUCUUUUCAUUUUUAUAGGUUUUUUGGUGUGGUGACCUUUUUACAGAUAAUAGAGUUUUAGCCUCUCUUACUUCUGGCAUCUGCCCCCCUUGUGGCUGAAGUUGGUAUGGGGGCCUGCUGUAGGCUUCCUGGUGGGAGGGACUGAUGCCUGCCCACUGGUGGGUGGAGCUGAUUCCUAUCCCUCUGGUGGGUGGGGCUUUGUCUCUGGAUGGGAUAAGAGGUCUUUAGGCAGCCUGUUUACUGAUGGGUGGGGAUGCAAUCCCACCUGGAUUAUUGUUUGCCCUGAGGCUUCUCAGUGCUGAUAGGUGGGGCCAGAUUUUCCCAAAAUGUCCAGAGAAAGGCACACUGAUGAAUAUUCCCAAGAGCUUUGCUUCCAAUGCCCUCCCCCCACAACAAGCCACAUUCACCCCUGUUUUCCCAGGAGGUCCUCCAAGAACUGCAGUCAGGUCUGAUCCAGAUUUCUAUGGAGACUUUGCUUUCCCCUGGGACCCAGUGCACGUGAAAUUUUGUGUGUACCUUUUAAGAAUGGAGUCUCCGUUUCCCCCAGUCCGGUGGAGCUCCCGUGCACAAGCCCCAUUGGCCUUCGGUGCCAGAUCCUCCGGGGUCUCUUUGUCCCAGUGCCAGAUCCCCAGGUGUGGUAGUUGAUGUGGGGCUCAGAACUCUCACUCCUGUAGGUGAGUCUCUGUAAUACAGUUAGUUUCCAGUCUGUGGGGCUUCCCACCCCGGAGGUAUGGGGUUGCUUAUAUCACAUAAUCGCCCCUCCUAAAUCUUGAUGUGGUCUCCUCUUUUUCUUCUGGAGUAGGAUAUCUUUUUGAAAGUUUCUGGUCGAUUUGGUUGAAGAUUGCUCAGCAUUUGGUUGUAAAUUUUGUUGUUUUUAGGGGGAACUCCUAUUUUGGUUUUUAGCUGAAGUAUAGUUGAUUUUCAAUGCUGUGUUAAUUUCUUCUGUACAGCAAAGUUAUUCAGUUUUCUAUUUCGUUUUCAUAUUCUUUUCCAUUAUAGUUUAUCACAGGAUAUUGAAUAUAGUUCCUUAUGCUAUACAGUACAACUUUGUGGUUUAUUUAUGCUGUCUGUAAUAGUUUGUAUCUGCUAAACCCAACUACCCACUACAUCCCUCUCCCAGCCUCUCCCCCUUGGCAACAACAAGUCUGUCUUCUAUGUCUUUGAAUCUUUUUCUGUUUGGUAGAUAAGUUCAUUUGUGUCAUAUUUUAUAAUCCACAUAUAAGUGUAGGUGUCACCACUUUUAAGGUCAUUUAGGUGCAAUGGCUUUAAAAACAGAAACAUAAGCUGUAGUUACAAGAAAUCUUUACUGAUGCUUGGUAGCUCUUGGUGUCAUUUUUGGCCAGGUAUCUGUCAUUCCCUGUCUUAAGCAGUAGCCACUCCCUGACUUCCCCUCCUCUCUGGGGAAUCACUUCCAUUGCAGGUAUGUUGGGUGCAGCCCCACUUUGGAUGCAUGACCACAAGGCUGAGUUUAUAGGGUUUCAAAAGGUCAUGCCACAUCCUGCUCUCCACUUCACCACAGCCUGGCUGGCUCUCGAAAUAGAUGAAACAGAAGUUCAUUCCAUAUACACCAAAUAUUUGUCACCCUUCUGGGGACAGUUCAAUAGUGUGCCCAGUUUAGUGAUAUAAACAAACUGUCAUUGUUGAACAAACAACAUUAUGGCAACAGAAG